AUGAACGCUGGCGGCGUGCCUAAUACAUGCAAGUCGAGCGAACAGACGAGGAGCUUGCUCCUCUGACGUUAGCGGCGGACGGGUGAGUAACACGUGGAUAACCUACCUAUAAGACUGGGAUAACUUCGGGAAACCGGAGCUAAUACCGGAUAAUAUAUUGAACCGCAUGGUUCAAUAGUGAAAGACGGUUUUGCUGUCACUUAUAGAUGGAUCCGCGCCGCAUUAGCUAGUUGGUAAGGUAACGGCUUACCAAGGCGACGAUGCGUAGCCGACCUGAGAGGGUGAUCGGCCACACUGGAACUGAGACACGGUCCAGACUCCUACGGGAGGCAGCAGUAGGGAAUCUUCCGCAAUGGGUGAAAGCCUGACGGAGCAACGCCGCGUGAGUGAUGAAGGUCUUCGGAUCGUAAAACUCUGUUAUUAGGGAAGAACAAAUGUGUAAGUAACUAUGCACGUCUUGACGGUACCUAAUCAGAAAGCCACGGCUAACUACGUG
rnacentral:rRNA from 1 species